CAGGAUAAACCUGGGUCUGCCUUGAAAACUUAUUUAUCUUUCUUACUGUGCGAACGUUCGUAUUUUGUAGUAGUUAUAAUGACAAAAUAACGUGUUAUCUACAUUGUACAAACGUAGUCUGUUUACGUCAUAUAUUUCAUAACAUUCUUCAAAGAUAGAUUUAUUAACUAGUUGGAUUAAACUAAUCUCGAAAACAAACGGCUUAACGCGUGUGUCAGAUUUCAUGACGUAAGAUGCCGUGAGGCGAGAAUUUUGUAUGGUUGCAGCUGCGCAAUGAUCAGUUGAAAAUUGCACAGUGAGAGUUAAGGAAGUUAGUAAAGGGUAUCAAGGAAUCAUAGAACCUGUCCUUAAGAGACAACAUCUUUAUGGAAAUGGGGUCUUAUCUCCCCAAUUCCGCUUCUGAAUCUGUGAUAACUAGCUCAGGUGGGCAGAGUACAAAUACUUUUUCCAAUGAAGGAAAUAUACACCAUUGCAGUGCUCAUCUUGAUGAUGAAAUGCCUCAGAUAGUAUUGUGUGAAAUCAGUUUAUGCUCUUCCAUGGGUGUCAAAUGCACCAGAAUCCAGGGAAUUGCACACAGUGGCAACAACAGUCAGAAUGCUUCAGACAAUUCAGACUUUGAGAGUAGAACUCAGGGCAGCAGUCUCACUGCAACCAAAUCACAGAAUGCUUCUGACACUUUAGACUUUGAGAGUGGAACUCAGGGCAGCAGUCUCACUGCAACUAAAUCAUAUCUUUCAGGGGCCAAAUCUUUGGAGUCAUUAUAUUCUGCUUCUCAGAUUGGUUUAUUAAGCACUUUUCAUCAUUUACCACUACAGAGUACACACUGUUUAAAAGGUUUUGGCUGUGUAAUGCUAGAAACAGAGACUAAAUUAAGUACUCCAAAUGUAGUUAAAGAGAAAGAAACUGUUGGCCAUUCAACUGACAUUUUGGGGAAUCUUUCUGAUAUGAUAUGCCCCUUGGAUACCAGAAAUAUCAUUAUGAAUGAGAAUGGACACAGCACUUCCUUGAAUGAACAGGGAUCAUCAUGCUCAUCCACAAAGUUGCACUUUCCAGUUACAAAUGUUUCAAACCAAAGUGCCUUGAGUAGUCAAGGGAAUAAAAUUAAUGUAUUGGGAAAUUAUCCUGUAGGCAGUACAUCGGUUAAAAAGUCGUUUGCUUCUCAGAAUGGUCUUGAUAAUUAUGAAGAACUGAUAGGUGCAGUAGGAGGAUGUGAUCAGUCUUCAGAAGUUAACAAUUCCAAACAUAAAUGUGUACCUCCAAUCCGACUUGGGCUGUUGGGAGGUGGAGAAAACUCUGUGAAUAAUGGGACGUCAACAUGGAAUUCAGGCUCACAAGGUAGUGCUGGUGCAUCAAACUGGAGUGUAAAUAACAAUAACAGUGCUGGAGCUCACUUUAAUUCUAUUGGAAGACAAGGAGGACCAGGCUUCUCUUCUGGCAGUAACUGUGAUGAUCAAGGUAGGUCACUCCCAAAUACUUGGGCACUGGCAGCUGGAAAAGGACUUGAUAGUAAUCCUACUAAUGGAAAUGUUCUAAAUGGUCAAAAUUCCCAGAAUGAGAAUGGACAUUCAGUCAAACUUUAUAAUGAAGAACAUUUGUCAGAGAUUCACAGUACAGCUGCUCAAAAUGAUGGAUGGGGGAAGACAGUUAUCAAUCAAGACUCAUCAUGGGAUGAUCCAAACUCCAGUCCCAAAGAAACUGACAGCUCUGUUUGGGAAGGAUCAGCCAACAGCGGCACUGAGAUUUGGGAAAAUAACAUUCGGAAUCCUAAUAACGGAGGCAGCAUGGCUACACCUGGCCGCAACAAUUCCCUACCCUUAGGUCACACCCCUUCUACACACCUUGGUGGAACAUGGGGUGAAGAGGAAGAUACCAAUAUGUGGAGUGGCAUUGACCAAGGACCAAACAUUUUGGGAAAUUCUGGUAGACAGGACCAAUGGUGUGGACCUGGACGUAGAUCAAGGGUUGAGCCAGGAGUAGCAAGUAGCGGUCCAGGAAACAGACAAGAAACUGGAGGUUCAAUGUGUAAUAAAGUAACAAGUAGAACUUGGUCACCUGUGGCUACACCAAAAAAAAAAGAUUUUCAAGCUUCAGGAUGGGAAGGGUAUUCUAAUCCAGUAACCAGCCAUCCGACAUCCAGUUUUGAUGAUGGUACCUCCAUGUGGGGUAAUCCUCAGCGGCAAGGAAAAGUGUGUAAUUGGAAGGAUAUGCUUCCUUCUAAACCAACCAGUGGAAUAGGAAUAAUAGGUGGUAAUGUGCCACGUUUUAGACCUAGCCUUCCACCAAGUGGUCCAGGCAUGAUACGUUUGCCUCCAUCCUUUAGUCCAUCAAACAAACCAGAUGUGGGACCUACAUUGUUGGGCAAGAUGUCGGCCUUGAAUCAUGGGCCAAAUUGGUCAGACCUGCCCCACAGAGGUUCCCCAGGCCCAGGGGUUUGGGAUGAAACCCAUAUAUACCCUGCAUUUAAGAAUAUGCCAGGAUCCCCAAACUGGGGAGAAUCCAACCAUCCCAUGGGGCCAACAUAUUGGGGUGCAAAGCCAAAAACUGCUUCCACAUUAAACUUUGAUGGACAGAUCAACACUAGUGGUUGGGCUUCAGUGAAGAGUAGCAAGCCAUUGGGUAAAGAUCUCAUUUGUACAAGUAAGCAGUACCGCGUUUUGUCAGAGAUGGGAUACAAGAAAGAAGAUGUAGAAAAUGCUUUGCGAAACAAUAAUAUGAGUUUAGAAGAGGCACUUGGAGAACUUCACACACUUGCAAACAAAGAUAAAAAUCUGAUGGAUGUUGUAGGUGGUUAUCAUAAAAUGCAAACUAUUGUGGAUGACGUAAGCUUGAACGAUCCCUUGGCUGAUUCAAUGUGUGGAGCCAUACAGGAUUAUGAAGGGAUCCAUGUCCCUCCUGUGUUUGGUGGGAUUCAAACUUUCAAACAUCAGAAACAUGGGACUUUGAAUGCACUUAGUGGAAGAAUGAACCAACCAUCAGCAGCUCAUUUGAAAGUUCUCGUUCAACAGAUACAAGUAGCAGUUCAAGCAGGACACCUUAAUCCCCAGAUCCUUAACCAGCCAUUGGCCCCUCAGACAUUGCAGCUUCUCUAUCAACUGUUACAAGAGAUCAAACUUCUGUAUGAGAUUCAGCAGCUGCAUGGUUCUCAGCAGUUUGGUAAAGGAGGACCUUUACCUCCGCAGUUAAAUGUGCACAUGACUCAAACCAAGCAGCGGAUCCACAGUUUACGUAAUCAGAUUGCUGCCCAGCAAGCUAACUUUAUAAAACAUCAUCAAGUACACCAGCAGCUGCCUGAAACAGCAAACCUGUCAACCCUUCAGUCACCCUCUCAUGAGCUGUUCAAGCCUGGUUUAGAACAUUUAACUUCAGAACUUUCCAUUAAGGAGCCCUCAACACUUAAACCCCUGUCUCGGCUAUCCCAGUGGAAGCUACCAUCUCUGGACAAGGAUGAACAAAACUUGCUGGUUGGAAAUACUGAAAGAAGCAAUAAUGGCUUAGGGGAUUUUAGUCGUGCUCCUGGAACUGUGUCAAAGCUUGGAACUUCGUUACAUGCUUCACUUUCAUCACCUGUAAUAAAUCUAAGUGAGAGUUUACCAUGCACUCUGAACUGUCCUGGAGCUUGGCCUGUUUCUCCUUCUGAAGGCACCAGAAUUAUCCAUCUACAUAAUAAUAUGAGCAUGAAUAAUAUGAAUAGUUCUGACUCAACAUCCAUAAGUUCAUCAACCAGGAAUGUGGAGAGUGAGCCAAAAGCCACCACUUCUUCAACCACAAGCGCACAACCAUCUUGUAACUUGAAUGAUCUUGUGACAGAAUUUGAGCCUGGUAAACCAUGGAAAAGUAUUUCUCAUGGAAAAAAUGUUGAAGGUGAUAACCAUCUCACACCAAGCAGUACAGCUUGCUCUCCUUUCUCCCUGAGUUCUAUUAAAGACACAGAUUGGACAUCCAAAUCUAGACCUUCACCCACAAGCAGCGGGGAUUCUCUUGUAGCCUCACUAGCUUCGCUGACUUCCAGUCCUUGGACUUUUAAUCCAGUUACAUCAAAUGAUAGUGGCUGCAAGCCAGGUUGGGGACAGCUUGGACCCAGAAAACUACCUUUGUCAGGAGCCUGGGGAGCACCAGGAUCUAAGAUUCAUAGACCUCCUGGAUUUAUUGGACAAGGAAAAGCAGUGGAUAAACAGAAUUCCUUUCUUGUGCUUCGAAAUCUCACUCCUCAGAUUGAUGGAUCUACCUUGAAAACUCUUUGUCUGCAACAUGGUCCACUUCAGCUCUUCCACCUCCUUCUGAACAAAGGAAUUGCCAUUGUCAAAUACUCUACAAAAGAGGAGUCUGCCAAAGCUCAGUCAGCUCUGAAUAAUUGCGUUCUGGGAAAUACUACUAUCUUUGCAGAGAUUCCCACAGAGGCUGAAGUCCAGAAUUACUUGCAUCAUACUGGAAGUGGACAUACAUCAGGUACGAGUGGGGUAGCAUGGUCAGAUAAUAAGUCUACAAAUGUUGGUUCUAAUAUCGAAGGAAGCAGCACAUUUCCAUAUGGAGGAGGCCCUUGUGGUACGAAUCAUGAAAAGGCUGAUCCUAAUGCAUGGAAUAUUACUAACAAACCAGAUGGACCAUCUCAAACAUGGUCUUUCUCAGGUUCAGGAAGUGGUUUGUGGGGAACUACCCAGUCUAUGAAUGGGACAAUGAACUGUUUCUUGCCAGGGGACUUGCUAGGUAGUGAUGCUUUUUAAUGUUGAGAGACAUUGCUGUGUUCAGUCACAAUGUGUUGAGAGAACAUUUCUCCAAACUUGGCUCGUGUUUAAGAAAUACUUCUUGAUAACAAAAAUGUUUAUCAAUCUUAUGUACUACAACUAACACGGAUAGUGAGACUUUCAUGGUAUGAAAAGUAAAUUGAUAUUUAUAUCAAUGUACCUGUUGUAAGAACUAACACAUGAACCAGAAUCUUGUUGUCCUGGCUAAUGUGUGGAAUCCAUUAAUUCUUAUGACCAAAGAACAAAAAGGUUCAUUGAAUUUUUAUAACACUGUUUUUGUUAAAAUAAUCCGAUCAUCUUGAUUUAAUGGCAGUCGUUUAUUUUAGUGAUUAACUCUGUUUAAUGUAAACUGUCUUCAUGGGGUGAUUACCACCCUGUUUCACAAUCAGUUUGUUCAUAUGGGAUAACAACCUGUUUUGAUACUCGUCCUGUUAAUGUGAAACCUCUUCAUGGAGUUAUAACUGCCUCAGUUACCACCCUGUUUACCCAACAGUUUGGUUAUGUAGUAUAAUUGCCUGUUUUAGUACUUACCCUCAUAAUCUAAAACCUCUUCACGGGAUGAUUACUGCCUUGUUUACCACCAUGUUUUACCAUCAGCUUGUUGGUUAAAAAUAAUAGCCUCUUUUAAAACUUAUCCUAUUAAUGUAAAACCUCUUCAUGGGAUGAUCACUGCCUUGUUUACCACCAUGUUUUACCAUCAGCUUGUUGGUUAAGAAUAAUAGCCUCUUUUAAAACGUAUCCUAUUAAUGUAAACCUCUUCAUGGGAUGAUCACUGCCUUGUUUACCGCCCUGUUUUACCACCAGCUUGUUGGUUAAGAAUAAUAGCCUCUUUUAAAACUUAUCCUAUUAAUGUAAAACCUCUUCAUGGGAUGAUCACUGCCUUCUUUGCCACCCUAUUUGUCCAUGAGCUUGGUAAUGAAGGAUAACCACCUGUUUUAUUAGUUAUUCUAUUAAUGUUAUAUCUCUUCAAGGGGUGAUCACUAUACCAUUUACCACCCUAUUUUAUUAGUUAUAUUAUUAAUGUAAUGUCUCUUCAAGGGGUGAUCACUGCACCAUUUACCAUCCUGUUUGACCAUCAGUGUUUCUGUUGAUUAACCACCUGUUUUAUUAGGUAUCCUGUUAAUGUAAUGUCAUUUUGUAGGGUGAACACUGUACCAUUUACCAUCCUGUUAAUGUAAUGUCAUUUCAUAGGGUGAGCACUGUACCAUUUACCAUCCUGUUUGACCAUCAGUGUUUCUGUAGGACAACCACCUGUUUUAUUAGUCGUCCUGUUAAUGUAAUGUCAUUUCAUAGGGUGAGCACUGUACCAUUUACCAUCCUGUUUGACCAUCAGUGUUUCUGUAGGACAACCACCUGUUUUAUUAGUUAUCCUGUUAAUGCAAUGUCAUUUCAUAGGGUGAGCACUGUACCAUUUACCAUCCUGUUUGACCAUCAGUAUUUCUGUAGGAUAACCACCUGUUUUAUUAGUUAUCCUGUUAAUGUAAUGUCAUUUUUAGGGUGAGCACUGCCUCAUUUGCACUUUUUUCCUAUCAACUUGGUCAUUGUCAAGAAAUUCAUUUGAAACAACUGACACAAUAGUGUCUGUAGUUAUAAAACAACUGACACAAUAGUGUCUGUAGUUAUAAAACCGUCCAUAUCCACAGGAUAUAAAGAUGAAUCUUGAGAAAACUUAAUUUUUAUUGUCUGAGUCACAAAGUUACAAUAAUACUUGGUGCUAGCUUAUAGAUAUGUAAUGUAGGAAAACUGUUUCUUGAUCUCUUUCUGAAAAAUAACAUAAUUAAUUUUACUGUCAUUUUAUUAUUAUACCAAACCUGCUUUAUGUAUGUUGAUCACAGCUUGUAGAAGUAUGUAACCAUCCAUAAGCACUUGGUACAUUGUACCAAACCUGCUUUAUGUAUGUUGAUCACAGCUUGUAGAAGUAUGUAACCAUCCAUUAGCACUUGGUACAUUGUACCAAACCUGCUUUAUGUAUGUUGAUCACAGAUUGUAGAAGUAUGUAACCACUCAUGAGCACUGGGUGUAACUUGUGAAAGUUGGUUUCCAAGACAAUAAAUUUGUUUUUCAUGUGGUAGUGUGGUGAUAUUGAUGAUUUAUUGGAUUUUUGUUUUAUAGCAGAAGGUGAUUUAUUGGUUAGUGUGAAUAUGGUAAUGAUGUAGAUUCAAGUAAAUGUUUGUGUUUUUGAACUGUGUUAAAUACAAAAAAUAGAGUUUUUUCAAAUAAUUUGUCUCACUGUCAGCUGAAUAUAUUUUUUCCAUUUGUAGAUAAUUUCAGUUUAGGGUUUAGUAUAUUAUUGAUGAUUUUAUGUUCUUCUGAAAGAAAGGUUUAUUGUGUAUGUUUCCAUUUUAUUUAACACACAUUUAAACCAACCAGACAUAGGUGUAUUUCUGUCACCAAAAGAAACUUUAAUCAGUUUGUACUUUUGAGGUGUGUUGAUCAGUUAGCUUCAUCUGUAAUGAAGCCCUAAGCUAGAAGUUUGUCCUAAUUCUACCAAAGUUGAUAAAAAUAUUUGCAAUCAGUGUGAAUCUUUUUCUUUUAAGUAACAAUAAGAAUUGCUUCCAGUUCUAGUUAGUGUUUUGUACAUACUUUACUUUGAUGUGACACUCAACUCAAAUGAUCUCAUCAUUGUGAACUCGUGUAGUUUAAGUAUACAACAAGUGAUCUCUUUAGAAUAUCAAGAAAGGAUACAAUGCUUGAACUGCAAGGUUAUGUUACAUUAAUAUAUCAUGACAUUAUUUGAUGAAUACAAGUCUGAGUGCAUGGGAAACAUAACCAGUUUGUUUAGUGCACCUGUUGUUUUCAUAUAAUUCUCUUGAACUAUGUUCAGUAAAUUAUUCUUGUCAUUUUAACAACUAUAAUAAGAAAUUAUUAUUCUUAGCAUAACAUAAUCUUAAAGAGGAGUGCAAUACUGUAAACUGUUGUAGUUCUGAUAAUGAGGAUAUUAAUUUUUUACGUUUUAAAACGCACACUUUCAAGACAUAAACUAUCAGAUAUUUGUGUUAUUGCUUAAGAUGUGUUAUAAAAUACAUGAUGUAUUGAAGUGGCUACAUACCUCAUAGCUGUAAUGUAACAUCAUCAGCACAAUCUGAAUAAAUUUUAACAAAAAUCUCAUUUCGGUGUUUACUGAAUACAAAACUCUUAUAGU